UGGUAGCUAGCGAGGGCUUUGAGACGGCCGAGAGUUUGAGCGCCAAGGCUCUCUCUCCCCAGGGGACUCUGCAACCUGACUAGGUGCUCCUUCCCUGAGCAUAGUAACAUUCCAGGGAGCUGCCCGGGGAAGCUUAACGCUCGAUGCGGGUGGUAGGAAUGUAUCAUGGUGGGAGAGUCAUGGCAGCAGGCAGCUGGAACAGGACACUAAGUAAGAACACCUUCAACUACAAGCAGAAGUCAAGGAGAACUGAAAGUGACAACUGGAACCUUGAGAGCCAAGGGAGAUUGUGGAGAGGAUGUGAGCAGAUGGCCGCUGAGGAUAGCUGACCGGGUGGGUGGGCUGGAACCUAGGCCAGGACCUGCCACCUGAGGAUUGUGCCUGCGAUGUCCAUAUGAUUGUGAACAGCUAAACAGGGAGCUCUGCUCUGUUGAAAAUCAUAAAGUUGAAAAUGAAAAGAGAUAAAACCUUAAGCACAGAAGAAUAUUUUGUCUUUGGUGAAAAGAACAACUUAAGAUUAAUUUUAUUUUUAUGCUGUAUAUGCGUGUGGGUAUGUGCAUGCAAAUUUGGGUGACUCCAAAGGUCAGAGCAUCAAAUCACUUGGAGCUGGGAUUAUAGGCAAAUGAAAGCUGCCAAGCAUAGGAAUCUAACGAAUGUCCUCUGUAUGAGCAGAGAGUACUCCUUACUGCAGAGCCAUGUUUCCAGCUUAAGGAGGGCUUUUAGAAAGAAGAUUGAUAGAGAAUACAUACUUAAUAGUUUGAUGUACUAAAAAGGUUAAUUUUUAUUCACUAUAGACACUAGAAAUAAUAUUUACAAUUUAUAUAAUGCAUGUGAUUAUAGAACUAGAAGUAACAAUAUUAAAUAUAAAUAAAUUAUUGUAAGUCAGAUAAGAGAGAUGGAAGCCCCAGUAGGAAAAACCCAUUAAAGUAACUAAAAUGUGG
ensembl:processed_transcript Eldr Egfr long non-coding downstream RNA